rnacentral:rRNA from 1 species
GUGGGGUAAUGGCCUACCAAGUCUACGAUCUUUAGCUGGUUUUAGAGGAUGAUCAGCAACACUGGGACUGAGACACGGCCCAGACUCCUACGGGAGGCAGCAGUGGGGAAUCUUAGACAAUGGGCGCAAGCCUGAUCUAGCCAUGCCGCGUGUGUGAUGAAGGCCUUAGGGUCGUAAAGCACUUUCGCCAGGGAUGAUAAUGACAGUACCUGGUAAAGAAACCCCGGCUAACUCCGUGCCAGCAGCCGCGGUAAUACGGAGGGGGUUAGCGUUGUUCGGAAUUACUGGGCGUAAAGCGCACGUAGGCGGAUCAGAAAGUUGGGGGUGAAAUCCCAGGGCUCAACCCUGGAACUGCCUCCAAAACUCCUGGUCUUGAGUUCGAGAGAGGUGAGUGGAAUUCCGAGUGUAGAGGUGAAAUUCGUAGAUAUUCGGAGGAACACCAGUGGCGAAGGCGGCUCACUGGCUCGAUACUGACGCUGAGGUGCGAAAGUGUGGGGAGCAAACAGGAUUAGAUACCCUGGUAGUCCACACCGUAAACGAUGAAUGCCAGUCGUCGGGCAGUAUACUGUUCGGUGACACACCUAACGGAUUAAGCAUUCCGCCUGGGGAGUACGGUCGCAAGAUUAAAACUC